CCUACGGGAGGCAGCAGUGAGGAAUAUUGGUCAAUGGGCUUACGCCUGAACCAGCCAAGUCGCGUGAGGGAAGACUGCCCUAUGGGUUGUAAACCUCUUUUGUCAGGGAGCAACGCCGGCUACGUGUAGCCGGACUGAGAGUACCUGACUAAGAAGCCCCGUCUAACUACGUGCCAGCAGCCGCGGUAAUACGUAGGGGGCGAACGUUAACCGGAUUCACUGGGUGUAAAGGUAGCGUAGACGGCCCUGCAAGCAAGGGGUGAAAGCCCGGGGCCAAACCCCGGGACUGCCCUGUGAACGGCAUGGCUGGAGUGCGGGAGGGGCAGGAGGAAUGCCUGGUGUAGCGGUGAAAUGCGUAGAUAUCAGGAGGAACACCGGCGGCGAAGGCGGCCUGCUGGACCGCGACUGACGUUGAGGCUCGAAAGCGUGGGGAGCGAACAGGAUUAGAUACCCCAGUAGUC
rnacentral:rRNA from 1 species